rnacentral:lncRNA from 1 species
AAGAAACAACCUAGCAACAGCAACCACACAGAUUUCCGUAGUGAAUAAUAAUCCUCUUCCACCGUCUGAUGGUGUCCUGCUUGGCUCACAGAAGAUGGAAAGAUGUCUCCAUAUGGCGUGGUCUGGUGUCCUGGGUGUGGAAGGGCACGUCUUUGUCAUGCUGUCGUUCUCAGAGAAAGGCAGAUCCUGGGAAUGCCCGUGUGCCGUGGGUUCCCGUCGUCAUGUGCCACUGUACCCGCUGACCUGAUCACGUCAAUCCUGACAUUGUUCUAGGUUUUGCUGCUGCGUCGUCGUGGAAACGGUAUGUUGCAAAAUAAUGGCAUGUGAGAAGGAAGUGAUGAUAGUGAUACGGGCAUGGGAAAAUUGCAUUUGGGUGGUCUGAUUGGCUGACAGAGUAAUGUCACGUGCACUUAAGAGAGAUGACACUAUAGUUUAACAACAGCAGUCAGAAUGAAAUGCAAAUUGCA